CCCGCAGGGGGAUAACCCGGGAGAAAUCCGGCCUAAUACCGCGUAACACCUUUUGGGAGCAUUCCCGGGAGGUUAAAGGAGAGAUCCGGCAUAGGAUGGACAUGCGUCGCAUUAGGUAGACGGCGGGGUAACGGCCCACCGUGCCGACGAUGCGUAGGGGUUCUGAGAGGAAGGCCCCCCACACUGGUACUGAGACACGGACCAGACUCCUACGGAAGGCAGCAG
rnacentral:rRNA from 1 species